rnacentral:misc_RNA from 1 species
CAAAUGACCCGGAGGCGGAUAGUAUCCGCAGCCAUAAGGUCGAUCUAUUGUUACCGUAGUCAUGCUCCGGCAUGGCUUCGUGUCCACCCAUUGUGAACCUUUUUAUUAUGCUUCGGUAGCUCUUUGCGUCUAAACAGCGUGGAGGUAAGGCUGUCGAUAGCUCAUAUUAAAACUAGUUUUGAAUAUCAUGAUGUCUGAAGCUUUUUGAGAAAUCAAAAUACAAGUUUAA